AUGUAGACAUAUGUAGUCAAACAACUAUAAGGUACUGAAAAAUGUAAUGUUGUUGGUUUAGCUUGAAAGUGCAAAGGUAAAUCUGGACACAUUUAGUGUGGUGUUAAACUUAAAUGGGUUUGCUAUUUAAUAUUAAAGGUUAGAUUAAAAUGUAAUAUGAUUAUUCAAGUUUUAUCUAAAUACAAAUCUUGUGAAUUUGUUUUGGAAUGCAGUUUGGAAGAUUCUGGCACUCAUUUUGUUGAUCUUGGUAGUGUUACUCAUUGCUGUGUGGUGGUUUUGCAGCAAAUUGGUGGAGAAAUGCUUUUGAAAGUGCGACACCAAGAAAAACAGAAGUAUGUGAAGGUGACAGAGACUGAUGGGAUAUACUGUAUGAUUAUCAGCAGUUCAACCAAGCAGUCAAAGAAAAAUUUGGCUUGCCACAAGAUGCUGAAAUUAUUUACAAGGAUGAGUCAGGGACAGAAGUUGAUGAGGACAUCUUUGGAGAUAUUCUACAGAAAGGCGAUGAGGUUUUGUUGAGAGCUUAUUUGAAUGAUGGUAAUUUAUUAUCUACAUCAACCUGCUUUGGCAUUUUUCAUUAAUAGUCAUUAAAAACAGUU